rnacentral:pre_miRNA from 1 species
UUGAAAGUUCACAGUUUAACACCAUGGAUCUCCAGGUGGGUCAAGGUUAAAAAAUGUACCAACCUGGAAUACUCCAUGUUGUUGAGCUGUUCACUA